UACGUAGGGGGCUAGCGUUGUCCGGAAUCAUUGGGCGUAAAGCGCGCGUAGGCGGCCAGAUAAGUCCGGUGUGAAAGUCAAAGGCUCAACCUUUGAAUGCCGCUGGAAACUGUCUGGCUAGAGUCCGGAAGGGGCGAGUGGAACUCCUGGUGUAGCGGUGAAAUGCGCAGAUAUCAGGAAGAACACCAAUAGCGAAGGCAGCUCGCUGGGACGGUACUGACGCUGAGGCGCGAAAGCUAGGGGAGCGAACAGG
rnacentral:rRNA from 1 species